GUGCUCGCUUCAGCAGCACAUAUACUCAAACUGGAACAGUACCUAGAAGAUUAUCAUGAGCCCUGCGCUCAAGGAUGACAUGCAAAUUUGUGAAGCGUUAGAAUAUCUC